AUUGAACGCUGGCGGCAGGCCUAACACAUGCAAGUCGAACGAGUGGCGGACGGGUGAGUAAUGUCUGGGAAACUGCCUGUUGGGGGGGGAUAACUACUGGGAACGGUAGCUAAUCACGCAUACCAUCGGAUGUGCCCAGAUGGGAUUAGCUGGGGGGUGGGGUAAAGGCUCACCUGGGCGACGAUCCCUAGCUGGGCUGAGAGGAUGACCAGCAACACUGGAAGUGAGACACGGUCAAGACUCCUACGGGAGGCAGAAGUGGGGAACAUUGCACAAGGGGCGCAAGCCUGAGGCAGCCAUGCCGCGUGUAUGAAGAAGGCCUUCGGGUUUUAAAGUACGUUCAGCGGGGAGGCGUUACCCGAAGAAGAAGCACCGGCUAACUCCGUGCCAGCAGCCGCGGUAAUUC
rnacentral:rRNA from 1 species